CCUACGGGUGGCAGCAGUGAGGAAUAUUGGUCAAUGGGCGCGAGCCUGAACCAGCCAAGUCGCGUGAGGGAAGACGGCCCUACGGGUUGUAAACCUCUUUUGCCGGGGAGCAACGGGCGCCACGUGUGGCGCCACUGAGAGUACCCGGAGAAAAAGCACCGGCUAACCCCGUGCCACCAGCCGCGGUAAUACGGAGGAUGGGAGGGUUACCCGGAGUUUGUGGGUUGACAGGGUGCGUAGGCGGGGCGUCAAGCCAGUGGGCAAAUGGAGGGGGCCAACCCCUCCCCGCCGUUGACACUGGCGGUCUGGAGUGGGAGAGAGGUAGGCGGAAUGCGUGGUGUAGGGGUGAAAUGCGGAGA
rnacentral:rRNA from 1 species